GACCGAGGGUGCAAACGUUGUUCGGAUUUACUGGGCGUAAAGCGCGUGUAGGCGGCUUUGCAAGUCGGAUGUGAAAUCCCACGGCUCAACCGUGGAAGUGCAUCCGAAACUGCAUCGCUCGAGUCUCGGAGAGGAAGGUGGAAUGCUUGGUGUAGAGGUGAAAUGCGUAGAUAUUGGGAGGAACACCGGUGGCGAAGACGGCCCCCUGGACCGGUACUGACGCUGAGGCGCGAAAGCGUGGGUAGCAAACGGG
rnacentral:rRNA from 1 species